rnacentral:rRNA from 1 species
UACGUAGGGGCAAGUGUUGUCCGGAAUUACUGGCGUAAAGCGCGUGUAGGCGGACGGCAAGUCGGACGUGAAGGCUUCGGCUCAACCGGAGAAGGCCGUUCGAAACUGCCGUUCUUGAGGUCGGAGAGGGCGUGGAAUUCCGGGUGGAGCGGUGAAAUGCGUAGAGAUCCGGAGGAACACCGACGGCGUAGGCAGCGCCCUGGACGACACCUGACGCUGAGGCACGAAAGCCAGGGAGCGAACGGG